AAAGACGUGCGCAGGCGGUAAUGUAAGACAGAUGUGAAAUCCCGGGCUCAACCUGGGAACUGCAUUUGUGACUGCAUUGCUGGAGUGCGGCAGAGGGGGAUGGAAUUCCGCGUGUAGCAGUGAAAUGCGUAGAUAUGCGGAGGAACACCGAUGGCGAAGGCAAUCCCCUGGGCCUGCACUGACGCUCAUGCACGAAAGCGUGGGGAGCAAACAGGAUUAGAUACCCGAGU
rnacentral:rRNA from 1 species